GCGUUAUCCGGAAUUAUUGGGCGUAAAGCGUCCGCAGGUGGUCAGCCAAGUCUGCCGUCAAAUCAGGUUGCUUAACGACCUAAAGGCGGUGGAAACUGGCAGACUAGAGAGCAGUAGGGGUAGCAGGAAUUCCCAGUGUAGCGGUGAAAUGCGUAGAGAUUGGGAAGAACAUCGGUGGCGAAAGCGUGCUACUGGGCUGUAUCUGACACUCAGGGACGAAAGCUAGGGGAGCGAAAGGGAUUAGAUACCCCUGUAGUCCUAGCCGUAAACGAUGGAUACUAGGCGUGGCUUGUAUCGACCCGAGCCGUGCCGAAGCUAACGCGUUAAGUAUCCCGCCUGGGGAGUACGCACGCAAGUGUGAAACUCAAAGGAAUUGACGGGGGCCCGCACAAGCGGUGGAGUAUGUGGUUUAAUUCGAUGCAACGCGAAGAACCUUACCAAGACUUGACAUGUCGCGAACCCUGGUGAAAGCUGGGGGUGCCUUCGGGAGCGCGAACACAGGUGGUGCAUGGCUGUCGUCAGCUCGUGUC
rnacentral:rRNA from 1 species